rnacentral:lncRNA from 1 species
AUGCCAUUCCUCGACACCGACCUUCAAACAAAGUCAGAUGAGGAGCUGGCUUCCCUCAAAGCUGCUCUGGCUGACUUGCCCGUUCCGCUUCUCUCCCGCUUUGGGGCGGUUCUUCCUCCAGCAGCCUAUUCUUUCACAGCUUCUAUGCCAAGGGCUUAUUUAUUAUUAAGAAAAGAAAAAUUAUCUUAUGCAUGCAAGAUGUAUUGGGGUCACAAAAAAUUAUUUCUGAAAAUAAAGCGCUCUUAG